AGUGAACGCUGGCGGUAGGCCUAACACAUGCAAGUCGAACGGCAGCACAGUAAGAGCUUGCUCUUACGGGUGGCGAGUGGCGGACGGGUGAGGAAUACAUCGGAAUCUACUUUUUCGUGGGGGAUAACGUAGGGAAACUUACGCUAAUACCGCAUACGACCUACGGGUGAAAGCAGGGGAUCUUCGGACCUUGCGCGAUUGAAUGAGCCGAUGUCGGAUUAGCUAGUUGGCGGGGUAAAGGCCCACCAAGGCGACGAUCCGUAGCUGGUCUGAGAGGAUGAUCAGCCACACUGGAACUGAGACACGGUCCAGACUCCUACGGGAGGCAGCAGUGGGGAAUAUUGGACAAUGGGCGCAAGCCUGAUCCAGCCAUGCCGCGUGGGUGAAGAAGGUCUUCGGGUUGUAAAGCCCUUUUGUUGGGAAAGAAAAGCAGCAGGUUAAUACCCCGCUGUUCUGACGGUACCCAAAGAAUAAGCACCGGCUAACUUCGUG
rnacentral:rRNA from 1 species